GUUGGGAAGCUUAUAAAGGGUAGUUAUUUAAUCUGUCAGGACCGAGAGGUAGCAGCAGAAAAUAAUGUCACUCUUGUAUAAGCUUCCCUUAUUU
rnacentral:SRP_RNA from 2 species